GCCUCCGCUUCGGUCUCGUGGCUUCUGGAGUCUUCUAGAUGUAAAAUAAUUGCGCAACACGUUAAUAUCUUUACGUAAUCCCGACGUGUGGGCCUUUCUUCCGUAUUUCCUGAUAACCCCCUACAGAAAUAGACAAACACCAAAACUCGUGGAAUUCUGUCAGAUAAAACCCUAAGUCUAGAUCUUGAUUUCAUUUGGAUCCUUUUCUUUAUUUAUUUGAUAAUUAAAUUUGAUACUUAAGGACCGUCAACAAACUCCCCCAAGCUUACCUCUUGCUCGUCCCUCAGCAAGGAUAGACUCAGCUAUGGAUCAUAAGUAGUUGCAAUAUCUUUAAAAAUUUGACUGUACACAUGCUUUUAAAUAAGAUCUCAUCUCUAAGUUAGAGUAAACUGUCAAGACUUAAAACUUACAUACUUUACCUUCACCAUGGGACUUGUAACCGUCACUUCUGUCUUGAGUGGUUAAAAGAUAGAACAGUCUAGCCAAGUGCCAUGUCUCUUAUUCUUGAUCAGCUAUAGCUCUGGGCUUUUUGCAGAUUUUUAAAUAAAACUCAGAAAUUCCUUGUAUGAUUCUCUCAGGUCUCUCUUUUGUGGUAUUUCUGGAUCCUUACCAAGGCAGUGAUGGUAUAUGCCUUCUCUCAAGAUAUGUAGUAUUUCUGGUACAAAGCAUAAUGACAUUGUCUUCUCUCUCACCCUACUCUAAUAAGGCUUUAAUAUCUGAAGCUCAUAGGUGGGAGAUAAAGUAUACACACUUACAAGACAUUUAUUGCAUAGUCAAACCAUGGAUCCAAAGAAACAAAUCAAUAAGCCAAAUCAAGAUGUGCAUGUGUGGCGAAUGAAUGGUGUAUGGUGAUGAUGGUGAUAACAAUGGUGAAAACAAUGGUGGUGGAAGUCUAAUUCUACUUUGCUCUUUGAGGGGAUACAUACCUUCCUUGCUUUUGAAACUUUAUGAGGAGAAUGAGAUGCUCUUCUUUUUCUUUUCUCUCAGGUGGAUAUCUUGUACCCCUAAUUCUACUGUCGGACACUUGUCCAUUUUUACCUCUCGUCUCACUUUUUCUUUUCUUUCGAGGUUCCGAGCACUUGCUCCUUUUUAUUUCCUCGUAUCUUUUUUUCUUUUUCUCUUUUUUUUCAGAGCAUUCAUCUCUUGAGAUAAUAUAGCAAGUGGUAGUAACAAGAUAACUUGAGCAUUUAUUUCACAAAGGGAAACAAAAAUAUUUUUGGUUAUUCUCUCCAGGAUUAGGAGUAGAAUAUUUUUAGGUGAUUCUGGAGAUGGAAUGGGUGAACUUCCAGAGUAGAAGUAGCAUAUAUGAGUGAAUGUGCAAGUGAAAUCUUGAUUUAACCACAUGACAAGCUCCUAAGGGUCUACACAGCUUGACCACACUCAAUGCUCAAAAGCAGUAAAUAAUAAAUGUGUGGCUCAAAGUCUAGCAAGCAUGUAUAUAUGGCUGUGGUAGGAAUUUAAACUCUCAUCAUACAGGAACUCAUCAUGCAACAUUUUAAAGAUUUUCAAAGAUAAAAUUCUUCAGAAUUCUAGCAUCUCUAGGAACAGAUAAACAGCAGCUCAACCUUCCCAUAUCAUAUCCGUUAACAACUUAGACUUCAGAUCAAGUUUUCAUCCCACAAGUUUAGGUCUAGAGCAAGCCUUAAAUUAUAACAGUUAUGUCUAAACUUGAGAGAGAACUUAAAAUGUGCAAAUUAGGCAGAGCAACUAUUUAUCAUAUCCAUGCUUAAGUUUUAUUUAGAUACAAAUUAGCAUAGCCACUUUAUUUAUUUAUUAAACACACUAAGCAAAAUAUAUAUAAGCAUAAAAUCUUUAUUUGGUUUUUCAUAGUUAUGUGUAUUUAUAUUCUAAAAUAAUAUAAGUAUAAAGAUAGAUAGAAAUACUUAUCGAGAUAAAUGGGGGUGCUCUCCCCCAAGCUGAAUUUUGACGUAAUUUCUCUUGAUGUAGCUAGCAGGUGGCAGAGGUGUAUUUGAAAGUCAGCAGCAUUCUGACAGCGAUUAGAAUGUCCUCCGUCUGCUAGUCUUCUUGAUUCUUAAAUUCUGUGGAGCUCAAAUAGACAACAAAGCUUGUGGAACUGAUUAAGUGUUAGCAUAAAUAUCUAGCCUUUAUCAUGUUGAGACUCCUUAAUAAAUAUUACUCCCUGUUUUUAUAUUUUUAUUUUUAUAAAGCAGAAAAAUAUUUAUUUUAUUUUUAUGCCACCACAGUGAAUGUACUUAUGGGUUUUAUGCCACUCGCAUACUCAUAUGGGGCUUACUGUUUUUUUUUCACAUUUUUAUUUUCUUUUUAAGAUAGUACGAACAUGAUUAUCUAAAUAAACUAUUUUAAAUAAUUGAAAGGGAAAGGAUAACUACCAAGUUUACCUCUUGGCAAGGCGUUCGGUGUUUUUAAGUCCUCCGAACGGGACUCUCCAUUUUCUCAAUCGUCCUGAGGAUCGUUGUGUGGCGUAGUCGGUACUUUCGGCAGCGCCUCCUCUUCAUGUAUAGUUAUCUUCAUUUUCCAUACCUGACUCGGUGCUUUAAUCUCUUCUGGAUAAUUCUGUUUAAACUCUACAUCUUCUGAUCUUACAACUUCUCCUUCAUAGUCUGCCCAUCCAUCCUUGAUGAUCUGCCUCCUCUGGUUGCGGUUGCGUCUCUUUCUGACCUGCUUGGAUUCUUCAACGAUAUAGUUAGGGUCAGUAAAAUAACGGCGUACCUUCUCUGAGGGGAAGUGCAUAUGGACUUCUCCGGUUCCAAUGUAGAUAAUUGCUUUAACAGUGCUGAGGAACGGUCUUCCAAGGAUGAUGGGUGGAUCAUACUCGUCUUCUCCCAUGUCAAUAACUUGAAAGUCUGUGUAGACAAAGUGAUCGUAUAUUUUGACUGGGACAUCAUAUACUAUUCCUUUGACUUCUCGAAAUGUCUGAUCUGCCAUCUGGAGUUGAAUGUAUAUUGGUCUUAGUGGCAUGGUUCCGAACAAGAGCCGAUAGGUGACUGCGGCCAUUAUGUUGACGCCCGAUCCGGUGUCGCAAAAUGUCAUGUAGAAGUUGUAUCCAUUUAUGGAGCAGUAAAUGCUUGGCAUUCCUGGGUCGUCCUUCUUGGUCAAAAGCGGUGACUUAAGUUGGUGAUCUUGGCCUCCAUGGACUACAGUGACUAUCUUAGCUGACUCGGUCCACACUUGCUUGUUCCUGUUCCUCCUGUUGGUUCUCUUCCUUGAUUUACGUCUGGAUUGAUCUUGAAUUUGUGUAGUCUUGUUCUUGAAGAAAAAUGUCUCCUUCUUCCCUUUGACGUAGAAACUGAUCUUGGCAGCACUGGCAUAGAUGAUAGCUCCCGUGGUGUUCAAGAAUGGCCUCCCUAGGAUGAUAGGUGCUCUCUCAUCAUUUCCGGUCUCUACCACUACGAAGUCUGCUGGGGCAUAUAAGGUACCAACUCGGACACAAAGGUUCUUCACUAUUCAUUUUGGAAAAGUUAUCAUCUGAUCUGCAAACUGCAAACACAUGGUUGUCUCUAAUAAAGGAUAUGUAAAGAAUUUUUCAUAGAGUACCCUGGGUAUAAUGUUGACACUGGAGCCAAAGUCGCAGAGUGCUUCUGGAACGUCCACCAUGCCGAUGGAGAUCGGGAUGACGGGGCGUCCUGGAUCGCCUCUCUUGACCGGCAGAAGGUCAGUAGAGAAUUCAGUGACGGGGUUACUCCAAUUACCUCCAUCAAACAUUUCUACAAGAUUUGCAGAUUCUAAUCCUUCCGGUUGUGAUGGUAUACCGGGGUUAGUAGUAGGAACAGCAGCAGCUAUUUGAUUUAACUGAGAUUCAAUCAUUUUAUUAAAGCUAAUUUGAUUCUUGAUGGUAGUAGAAAAAUUAUCCAUUCUAUUAUUUAUAUUUUCUAACAUUUUAUCAUUAGAUACCAAUUUCUUAGAUAGGUUAUCCAUUAGCUUUCCUUGAUUAGACACUAACUCUCUCAAAGGUGGAAAAUUAUUAUUGUUGUUGUAAAAUUGUUACCUUGAUAAUUACCUGAGUAGUUAGGCCUCUGUUGAUUCCAACCUUGAUUUUGUUGGGGACGGUUGUAGUAGUAGUAGUUGUUGUUGUUGUUGAUGUAGUUAACAUCCUCAAGUAUCUCAGGGCAGUGGUUGCCUGAGUGUCCAGUGUCUCCACACUCCUCACAAGUCAUGUGAGAGUCGUAGAUGUGCAUAACUUCUUUCUUGUCUCCAGCUCUAUCGCCGAGCUUCUUCAUGAGCAGGUCUAGCUUUGCAGACAGCAUGUCUACCUCCUUCAGCUGAUGCAUACCUCCACCUCUCUUGCGUGUCUGGGUCCUCUCUUCAUUCCAGCUUUGGUUGGACGCCAUCUUCUCCACAAGAGCUGUGGCUUGUGGUAUAGUAAGUGAUAAGAAUUCUCCUCCAGCUGCAGCAUCCAUGGUCUCUCGGGCACUGUUGCCGAGCCCAUGAUAAAAUGUCUGCAUCAAUAGACAACUCUCCAUUCCAUGAUGGGGACAUUCUAGGAUGUAGUCUUGAAAACGCUCCCAUGCUUCUAGAAAGGAUUCAUCAUUUUGUUGCUGAAAACUUGUAAUCUUCCCGGAAGUGUUGUAAAUGAGCACUAGCAUCUUCGUGUGCCUUCCCACAGAACUAUGGUGAAUGUGUUGCAAAUCUCCAGGAAGUGUUGUAAAUGAGCACUAUCUCCAGUUGGCUAUGGUGAAUGUGUUGCAAAUCUCCAGGAAGUGUUGUAAAUGAGCACUAGCAUCUUCGUGUGCCUUCCCACAGAACUGGUUGGAUUGCACCAUGUUGAUAAGUCCAGGCUUGAGCUCAAAGUUGCCAUCGAUCUCUGCAGCAGGUCCAGUGCGGAUGUUGUCCGUAGUGGGAGCUGAGAACUCGCGGAUCGAUUUGUUCGCCAUGGCCUCGAACUCUGAAGACAAGUUCCGGUGAUCUUCUUGAUUGGAUGAAGCUUCUUGCUGAAGUGUUGAUGAUCUCUUCUUGAGCUUGGCUCUCGUCUUCUUGAAUAAUGCUUCGGGAUUGUCAACAAAAUUUCCUGGAAGAUGUCUUCUAUUCAUACAUUCCCCUGCAUAAGAUAAAAUAGAAAAAUAUCGGGGUAAAACUGUAUGAGAGAAUAGAUAAGCUCAAUCAUAUUAGUGAUGCGAAUGAUAACUCAAAAUCUUUUAUUCUAUUCCUGAUUGGUAAUCAACCUUCCCCGGCAACGGCGCCAAAAAUGCUUGUUGGGUAUUCUUAACAUCAUUACCAAAAGUAGACUAAGUUCUCUAAAUCUAGUAACGGUGCCAAAAAUGCCAAACCUAUCUCUCACACCACUUAAGCCAAGUUGUCAUCCCCAGCAUGAUAUGAGAGACGCGGUAUUGAAAUAUGCAAUUGCUCUUCUAAAUAAAUAAUGAAUGGGAUCUGCAAGCGCACAGAUUAAUACCGAUGCAGCAUUUUAACUGGGAAGUAUUCCAGGUAUCGUUAUUUAUAUUUUUACCACUAGGAAGGGAUUAGCAAUCAUCACUAUUGAUUACAGAAUAGAAUAUGAGAUUGAGCAUCUAUCAUUGCAUGUAUAAUUGAGAACAUUAUAUCUAACUCUUCAUACAGAGAUAAGUGUCACAUAAAAGAUAUAUGAAAUAAUAAUAGUGACAAGGAUAACUAAUCUGAUCUAGCCACAUAAUAAAUAUGAUAAGCACCUCAAUUAGAUACUCUAGACAGUCAUUAGCAUGGUAUUACAACGAACUACAAGAAUAUUCCCUAAGUUAUUCUUAACUAUAUAGUCUAGCAUAUCAUAGUUAGUGCAAGCAUACUUAGCAAUCAUUGCAAGACAAGACUACACCCAUGCAUAGUGAUAUUAGCAAGGAAUAUGAGAAACAUAGCAAUCACUCCCCUGUAAUAAUGUUGCUCUACCAGCCCAAUACACGAGAGGGGGACUAUAUAAGAAUCAAUGAAGCUGUCACUAUCACGAACCACCCCACGAUCUGGCAUAUUGGGUACAAUCGUAGAUAAAUACGGUAUAAGCACCACGCCUACACAAUAUCUACCAUUUACCCAUGGAUCCGAUGGAUAAACGCUAUACGAUCCUAAGCAUGUAUAUAGAUCCAAUCUAACUAAGCCAAGUAAAUAACUAUGAUAAACUAAGAACAAUAUAAUCUUGAAUAUAAGCAAGUAGAGCAAAGUCAUAAGCAAUAUAUUGAAGUAGAACAAAGUCAUAUUCAUAAUAUUGAAGAACAAAGAUAAUUAGAAAGUAAUUAGAAGCACAAUUAGAGAAUUACCAAGAAUCCACUUGACAGAUCCGGAAACCAAUCGAAGAUUGACUCCUUCUAGUUCUAAUCCUAUGUAGCUAUGCUAAUCUAGAUGUCUAAUUGAUGUGGUGGCUCUAAUAUUGAUCAGAGGCUUCUUCUCCCUUGAUGGAAAAAUGAAUUAGGGUUGAGAGGCUCUCUCCUCCAGGGGCCAGGGGGUCUGGUUUUAUAGUCCCUUCAAGUGAAUAUGGGCCAUUGGAUCAAACCGACAUAGAUUGUAUGGUUUAGAUUCAUCCUUUAGGUCGGUGGAGAUCUCCCGCAAAGCAGAGUCCUGAUUGGACUCCUAGAGGGGGCGGGCGCCCAGUAGGACAGGGCGGGCGCCCUGUCUCUGGCCCCGUUUCGCCUCCGCUUCGGUCUCGUGGCUUCUGGAGUCUUCUAGAUGUAAAAUAAUUGCGCAGCACGUUAAUAUCUUUACGUAAUCCUGACGUGUGGGCCUUUCUUCCGUAUUUCCUGAUAACACCCUGCAGAAAUAGACAAACACCAAAACUCGUGGAAUUCUGUCAGAUAAAACCCUAAGUCUAGAUCUUGAUUUCAUUUGGAUCCUUUUCUUUAUUUAUUUGAUAAUUAAAUUUGAUACUUAAGGACCGUCAACACUAGGUCAGGCCAAAAUCAAUGAUAAUCUUGUUAAAAAGCUUUCUAAAAAUGAUCAAAUGUUUGUCAACAUAAAUACAAAGCCUGAUGGCCUGACCCUUUCUGUUAGAGAUCAGCUAAGAAGAUCGAGUUAAAAGUAGCUCAGCUUGCUUCUGCCGCUAAAGCUGUUGUUUCUCCUGAUUCUGUGGAAAAUGUAAAUGCGGUGACCAUGAGAGGGGGUAAGACCACUCGUGAUCCCCCUUAUCCUAACCAUAAGACAGGAAGGGCGCCACGGCAACAGGAGGAAACACAGGCAGAAGGGCCGGCUCAACCAUCAGAAGAAUCCAUCGAAGACGAGCUGACCCCAAACAACUAUGGGGACACCACGAUGCUACCCUUUCCGACAAGAGAAAGAAGGAAGAAUAAGGACGGAGGUGAACAGUUCCUCCGCUUCAUGGAAAUGGUCAAAAAGACGCACGUCAGUGUACCGUUGAUGGAUGUCUUGCAUAUUCCGUCCUACUCCAAGUUCAUCAAGGACAUUGUCAACAAGAAGCGACCAUUGUCGUCCACUGAAGUUGUCUAGCUGACAGAAGAAUGUAGCGCAGCUAUACUCAAUGAGCUGCCCAAAAAGAAGCAGGAUCCUAGGUGCCCCAUAAUCUUUUGCUCAAUUGGGGCCCAGCAAUUCGACAACGCCCUAUGUGAUUUGGGGGCGAGCGUGAGCGUCAUGCCGAGAUCAGUCUUUGAUAGGCUGAACUUCAGCAACUUGGAGCCAACCACCAUGACACUCCAGUUGGCAGACUCGUCAGUUCAGUAUCCGGCAGGGAUUGCUCAAGACAUCCCUGCCAAGAUCAGAGGAUACUAUGCUCCAGUGGAUUUCGUGGUGCUCAAUAUGGAGCUCACUAAAGAAACACCGCUAAUCCUGGGAAGAUCAUUCUUGAGUACGGCUGGAGCACAGAUUGAUGAUGGGGCUGGAGAAAUCCGCUUCAACAUUAAUGGCCAAGAGGAGAAGUUCGAGUUCAGGCCACGCCGUCAACGGGAGUGCAACAUGAUACGGAUCCCCUAUGGGCCAAACCCCCAAGGCAUCAGGCAGGUUGAGAUCCAGCCUCAACUUAUUAAAAAUACAAAAAUAUCUAAGAAAAAGCUGGAGCCAAAAGAAACGGCGGCUCCUAAGAAAAAUAAUAAGGAGCAAAAAAAGAAAAUAGCUCCUAAAAAGAAUGAAAAGAGGGACGAAGUCCCCAAGCCAUCACAACCGAAGCAGGUGUGGAAACCAAAGGAGAAGGUUGAACAAACUUCCACACCUCCAAAGGUGAUACUGCUAAAGUGGAGGCCCAAGCAGGUGCAACCGUCUACUCCUCCCAAGACGGAUGUGCCAUCAUCAAGCAAGAAGUAAUGGGAGAAGAGUCCCGCUCAACAGACUAUAAAGAUGAGACCUUGCCGAAGGUAACUCGGUAAGUUAUCCCUAGGUAAGUUUUUACUUAUAAAAAAUAUAAAUAUAUAUUUUCUUUUGCCUUAUUUAUUUAUUUUGAAUAAAUUCUUUCUAUUUAUGUUUUGAAUAAAUGGUGCAUUUGUUGUAUUUAUGAGUAGUCCAUAUUGCCUCUAUGAUCUUUUCUUCACUUUUGAAUCUUUGUGAUCAUGGGUAUCAAUCACUCAUAAAUGCAUGAUAGUGUGAUAGCUUUUCGAAAGUUUUCAAAAUUCAAAACUCUGUCCCACACACUAUCACUCUGAUUCUAAUUGAUCGUAACCAGGAUCGCGAAAUACUCAGAGAGGGAAAGAAAUACCUGAAAGACUGAGGCCGACUGGUGGACCCAGUGGUGCGGCCGCACCCCCAGGUCCGCCAAUCGGCCCCAAUCCUUUUCCCUUCCUCUUCUGUAGUGAUUAGCAUGACGUCCAUGGUUACGAUCAAGUUGUUUCUAGAUGAGAGACUGCGUUAGCACCUAUAAAAUCCUCCAUAGGCCUCUUCCCUUCUCACACCAACCAUUUCUCAUCUCCCUCUUGUGAAGAUUGCUAAGCUCUCCCAUUCUUCAGUAGUGACCAUGUCUAGCUAUGCCCUCUUGCUGAUCAAUGCUCCCAAGACCAUAGCCAAUCUAGACAUAGCACCUUACCAAGAGAGUUAUUGCAAGGAGGUCCAGGUUGAGAAGAGAAAGCCGUUAGCGUUGUUACCAGCAAACCACAAAGCGCCCACCAAUAGCCCCGCCAACAUACCCGCUACUGCACGUUCAUCCACUAGCAACAUAGGACUUAAGAGAAAAGCCCCUAGUGAUGAUAGGCAAGGCAAUCAUGCUGGUAGCAAGAUGGGUGGCAAUGCCAAGAAGACAGAAUCGUCCAAUACUCUCCCUAGCAUCAGGAGGCACUUGCCACAGCCAUCAAUCAAGCAUCGUGCAGGACAGUACGAGAGGAGCGAUGAAGAAGGUGAUCCCAAUAUCAUAGCCGAGCUUGUAGCUAAGCAGGCUAACCUACGUGCUAAUUUACGGGUUUUAGAAGACGACCUAGAGGAAAAGAACACUGAGAUUAGGAACCUCAGUGAUGAUGUUAAUAGGUUUCGCUUCAAGUUUAAUAGUAAACUUAGAAAGGUCGCUGAAGCCUUUGGUGUUGGUCGCCUUGUUGAAGAUCUUUAGACCACACCUCCUGCACAAAUAUUUGUUUUAGGCACAUUUUUCCUUUUCACAAUAUUUAUGUUUCAAAUAUUUUUCCCUUCCAAUGUAAUGUGCAUAUUCAAAGUUAUCAAUAAAAAAAGUUUGUUUAUCUUGUGCACUUGUUUUCUAUAUAUAUUGUGACUAACCAUGACAGGAAAGAAAACAAGUGUAGGGGAAGGACUAUUCAAUCAAAAAUCUCGGUUUGUGCAAACCCUCUUCCCCAAAAAAAAAUUCAAAUGAAAUGUUUAAAAUGAUGUUACCUUUGUACUCCAUCAAACAUGUCUCCUAUGUUCAAAUAUGUUGUUGCAUACUUUUUAUUCUUAGCUAAUAUCCCUAAAGAUUUAUGAACACUUGUUAUAGGGACCCCAUUUUAUCUAAGUAAUUGACGUAUGUGAUAUAGUAGGAUGACAUGAUGCUUGCUGGUUCUUGCAAAGUACUUGGGUUUUCUUUUAUAAAAAGCAAAAUUCAAUAGCAAGUUUCUUGAAUGAUCAAGCUUUAUGCCUACCAUGGCCAAAUAUUUGUUCAUGAUUAAACCUUCUACAUAUGUUUCUUGCUCUAUGUUGAGUUUGGUCAGAUUUUUGGACCGCUGUCGAGAGAUGUUUCAUGCCUCUAAGAUCAGAAUUCACUUGCACCCACCAUAUAAAAGCCGACUCUCACACUGAGAAGUCGCGCACAACAUGCUUUCUCCAUCCACCCAAAAUUUUGCCAACUCUAACACUGAGGGUCGUGCACAUAUAUCCACCAAAUAAAAAUGCCAAUAUCUCACCCUGAGAAUUGUGCAUUCAUAUACAUUCCUUGCAUUUGUUAUCAUAAAGCUCUCUUUCGUUUUCAUCAGAAUCAUAGGAAUGGGAUAUAUAUAUAUAUAAUUAUUAUGAGAAAAAGCCAAAGGGGCAAAACGUGGAAAGAUUCAAACCCGUCCAAAAAAAUAAAAAAAAUAUUAAAAUUUGUGUUAUAGCCCAUAUCCUCUCAAAUUUUUCAUCUCAUUUCAAAAGAGAGGCUUGAUGCAAGGAAUCUUGCAAUAAUAGUAGUGAUAGGAUUCCACCAAAAAUUUCACACACUUGCACAUUCUGAUCUAAGGGUAUGGCGCACUCUGAAGGGUCGAGAUGGCGGACUAGAGGGGGGUGAAUAGUCCUUUCCAAAACUUAAAGCGUCGGCUAACCGAAAUAAGUGUGGAAUUUAAACUAUCGGUCUAGCCAAGACUACACCCCUCUAUUGUAAAAGAUCCUAAACAAGAAACAAGGUGCUACCUUAGCAAGAGCACACCAAACCAAUUCUAGAAGCAAGGUCACACAAACCUAUGCCACUAGUACUUUACAAACUGGGGAGCUCCUACGCAACUAGUAAGCAAAAGCACAAAGCUCCUAAGCUCACUAGCAAAGCUCAAUAACAAGGCAACCAAUGCCAAAUUAGAGAGCGCAAAAAUACUGAGCUACACAAACUAAGCAAUGUGACUAACAAGGUUACACAAACCAAAUUAGUCCCGCAAGGGAACUACUUCUAGCUACACAAGCAAGAAGGUAACUAGCAAGCUACACAAGCUAACUAAUUACAAGAGCAACUACACAAGCACAAAUAUAUGAAUGUAAAAACAAGCUUGUGUUAGUGACUUGCAAACCAACGGGAAGAACAAUGUUGACACGAUGAUUUUCUCCCGAGGUUCACAUGGUUGCCACCAAGCUACGUCCCCAUUGAGACAAGCUCCAAGGUUACCGCCGGUCCUCUUGCUAGUGGUGACCCGCAAGUCACACUCUCCCACGUGGAGUGCUUACCACAAGCUCUAGCACUUGACUUGGCCGGACCACUUGUCGCUCUUCACGCCUCGCUCAACUAGAGUUGCUCUUCACGAUCCCCACGGGGUGAGCACCGUACCGCUCACAAUCUCUUCUCCGAAGCACCGCACAAUCUCCUUGCGUGCUUCGACAGAGUCACAAGCCACCAAGCCAUCUAGGAGGUGGCAACCUCCAAGAGUAACAAGCACCACCGGCUUGCAACAUGAACACCUAGUGCCACUCGAUGCAAUCUCUCAAUGCAACGCACUAGAAACACUCACUCGCUAUUGAUUCACACUCUUGCAAGCACAAGUGAGUUAGAGGCUUUCCUAGCACUCCCCAAGCAUGGACACUAAGUCCCAGGGGUUCUCAGGACCAGCCAAGGCUGGCCACCACUUCUAUUUAUAGCCCCAAGGGCUAAACUAGCCGUUGCCCCUUCACUGGGCAAAAGCCGGGGGCACCGGACCCACUGCAGGGACCACCAGAUGCUCAACUCUUAGCGUCCGGUGCUCAGGCGUCAGCCACGUGUCACUAGCCGUUUGAACUCAACCGUUACAACCAACGGCUAACAAACACGCGCGCCUGCACCAGCCACACCGGAUGCUCUACUGCUACACACAGGACGCGUCCGGUGCACACCAAACCCGUGCGCAACCGGAGCGUCCGAUGCUCUUUAGUCAGAAACACCUUGCGCACACUUGCUAACGUCACUCCACACCGGACGCGUAGACAGUAACUGCCCAGCGUCCGAUGUCAGCGUUCGGUGCGCUCUGCACACCUGAGCCACAGACUGACACCACACCGGACGCUCUGGACCAGCGUGCGGUGCUACCAACACCAGCGUCCGGUGAGUGUUUCGAGAAACACUCCCAUGACUUCUCCAAAUUUCCCACCAGUGCAAUAGAAAAUAUGCACUUUAUUUUCUCAAAAGCGUCGUACACCACCAUGUGCAAGUGUGUUAACAUUUUCAUAAACAUUUUCCCAAAGGAGUUAGCCUCUGAACUUGCCACGCCACUCGAUCCUAACACGUAUGCAAAGUUAGUUCGCUCAAGUGGCACUAGAUGACCAAUAUGCAAACAAGUUUGCCCCUCUUGAUAGUAUGGCCAUCUAUCCUAAAUCCGGUCAAAAACUUCUCUACACACCUAUGACCGGUGAAAUGGAAAUGCCCUAGGUUAUACCUUUGCCUUGCACUUUCCAUUCCAUCUCCUCCAAUGUUGAUGCAACACAUGCACCAACCAAUCACAAAAUGAUAUGAUCCACUUCAUAUCAUCACGUGACCAUAUUGGUUCAUCGAUCUUGACCUCACUUGCUCUUGACCUCAUAUCGGUCCAUCGGCGCCGUAUCUUGCUCAAGCUUCACCGUCACAUGCGGUCCCUCGCUUCAAAGCCUCCGACUUGCGCUUCACUCUUGCAACUGGUCCAUCGAGCCAAGCCUCAUCUUGAUCUUCUCCACCUUGGUCACAUAACUCCAUGUCAUGUCUCACAUGCAAUGAGAUCCUACAUCAUCACAUAAUAACCUGUGGACUAAUCUCCUGUGUAUCUCACAUAAACACUAUUAGUCCACCUAAGUUGUCACUCAAUUACCAAAACCAAACUAGGACCUUUCACACUCUCUCUGGUAUGGUCCUGGGUUUGACUCGACAACAUAUGCAGGGUAAGUAAGUUCCACCAUCAUACCUACCCAAAACUCCAGAUAACCCUUCUAGAAGUAGGAUGAUCAAAAAGAAGCAUCAACUCUUGAUGCCUUGGUAAGGAACCACUCACAUAUUAGGAGGGACUUGAGAGCAUCAUUCAAGAAACAUAUGCUAUCUUUAUUUUUCAAAAUCUUGCAAAACCCCAAGUUUCUGCAUAGGGACUAUGUAAGAGGAUUUGAAUCCAGGUUGUUCCAUGUUUCAAUUACCCAAGAUAGCUUGGUAGACACUUUGAAGUUCAUAAAUCUAGGUGAAGUUGGGAAUAACCUGUAUGCAGAUUCUUUUGACAAGGAAGAUGAACCCAUUUGGUCUUUAGUGCCUUCACUCGAGGACGAGCAAAGGACCAAGUGUGGGGGAGUUAUUGGUACCCCUUAUCUUAUAAUUAUAAACAUCAUUUUAAUAAAAAAAAUAAAUAGAUGGUAGGGCUUUGAACUAACCUUUCCACAAGUUUUGUUUCAAAUAUCAAUUUAGGUAUGACAUGUGGAAAGGCGCGAAAGACAUGAGAAAGCGCACUUCAAGAAAGCGUAUUCAAAAAAGGCACAAAACAAAGAUAAAUGGAAAAGGCGACCAAAACACCGAACUGGAUCCAUCCAUAACCAUGGGAAGGAUCAGGGCCCAGAGACGAACCGACCAAGCGAAGACGGUGGCCAGGGGGGGCACUAGUGGUGCGGCCGCACCCUGGUGCGGGCGCACCACCCGUGGCGGCAACUCGGUCCCACCUUUUUCAGGCGGUUGCAUGGCGGCAUGCAUAGGACGGUUUCACCUCCUAAAAAAUUUAGAUCACCAUGAACCGUCCUUGUUGGACUAUAAAUAGAUGGCUCCACACCAUUCAACACACACACACCAUCAUUUGGAGCAAUACACCUCACAUUUCUACACUUGUUCUUUAGUUAAGAUUCAGUAGUAGAGCAAGGCAAAGCUACCAAGGAGAGCUUGUCUCUGUUGACGGUCCUUAAGUACUAAAUUUCACCAUCAACUAAACAUGGAAAAGGAUCAAUAUGCACCAAACAUCUAGAAUUAGGGUUUUAUCUGACAGAAUUCCAUGAGCUUUGGUGUUUAUCUAUUUCUGCAGGGGGUUGUUGACGGUCCUUAAGUACUAAAUUUAACCAUCAACUAAACAUGGAAAAGGAUCAAUAUGCACCAAACAUCUAGAAUUAGGAUUUUAUCUGACAAAAUUCCACGAGCUUUGGUGUUUAUCUAUUUCUGCAGGGGGUUAUCAGAAAAUAUGGAGAGAAGGCCCACAUGUCAUGUUUACAACGAGAUAAUUACGUGCCGCGCAAUUUUCCUCAAUCUAGAAGAGUCCAGAAGCCACGGGAACGAACGGGAAGACGAUCGGGCUCGGGGGCAGGGCGCCCGCCCUCCCCCCUUGGGCGCUCGCCCAGGUCUCGGGGCCAAUCAGAACCAAACUCUUGGAUCGGUCUCCACCGACCUAAAGGAUCAAGGAAAACCGUGCGAUCAAUGUCGGUUUGAUCCGACAGCCCAAAUUCACUUGAAAGAACUAUAUAAUCAAGGCCUCUCCACCCCUAAGGGAGAGAAGAGAAGUGGAGAAAUCAUUAUCUGAGGUAGCCAUCAAAGUUAGGGAUUAGAACUUCUCUCCCACAGAGAAUUAGAAUUAGCUACUCCCUAAUCCUUCAAGUUUAGAGGAUUGAUUAGAUAGCAAUUAGAGAAGUAGAGCACUACGCUUUGGAUUCAGAUCUUCGGUAAUAAAGAUUGGUAUUAUUCAUAUCUUUCUCUAAUACUUUGUUCUAAUUGCAUUAUGUCUCUAUUUAUUAUGCUCUUAGUUUGCUCUAGUUCUAUAUUUGAUAUAGUUAUGAUUGAUAAUGAGUUUAUGUAUAAGUUUGCAAAGCGCUUAGCUCUUGACGCGGGGGAGUUAAGUGGUAGAUCACAUGUGGGCGUGGUGCUUAGAUGUUAUUUACCUGCAAAUGUAUCCAAUUGGUCGGGUUGUGUGGUAGUUCGCGAUAGUGACACCUUCGUUGAUUCUUAUAUAGUCCACCCUACGUUGAUAGGACAGGCAGAAUUUGUAUUGCAGAGUAAGUCUUGCGAUGCUCUGAUUUACUUUAGCAAUGUUCCUUAUACAUGAAUGAAGAGGUUUCUAUGCUAUAUAUGAUCUUGUAGAUAACUAUAGUAGAUUGUGACUUAGUAGAUAGUAGAUAACAUAGAAUCCAUUCUCUAGCUAAUCCGACGUCACCUUACAUAUAUGAGGAGUAGUCUAUUUUCUAAUCGCUGUGUUAUUUACCCAUGAACUUAUAAAUCAUUGUCGUUAUCUUUAUGGUUUACCCCCUGCCAAAGUAAGUGCUUGUGUGACGAGUUCCUCAUUAGUAAUCAUGUUCUUGCAAGUUUAUCUCUAGUUUAUGCCUUGAUAGAUUUAUCCUUAUCUUCAUUUAAUCCUUUUUUUCCUGAGCAAAAUUAUAAAAAACGAUACCUGGAAUACUAACCUAGUGAAAUGCUACAAUGAGGUGUUUUAUCUGUGCGCUUGCGGAUAGAAUAGAUUGUUUUCUAGAGAGCCUUUACAUUUAUAAAUACCUUUGUACACUCUGGCACCAUGUUGGGGAUGACAACCUAGUAUCUAAGUGGUGUUAGCUAGUGUCAACAAGCAUUUCUGGCGCCGUUGCCGGGGAAUAGAAAGGAAACACAUAGGAACACUAAGGAAAGUCAGGAAAUCAGUCAAUGUUAUUCACAUAAAAUAUUAGACUAGACUAUAGAGAAAUAAUUGCAUAAAACAGCUACUAAGUGAGAAAUCAUAACAAGGAACCUCUGCUUUGGCAGGUUCACCCUGUUGUUUUUCUAUGUUUACAUUUUUAUACAGGGUAUAUCAGGAUUGACUUUGGGUACAUUCAACUCUUCAUCAUUAGAACCAAAGCAAUCAAGAGAAGAAGAAGCUAGCUACCAAUUGCUAAAGCUAUGGCACAGAAGACCCUACAGGAUUUCUCUGCUCCAAGUCUUGAGAACAUUCCAACUGGUCCAAGAUUUGCAGUAGAAGGAGUACCCGAGUUUGAGCUCAAGUCAAGCCUCAUCAAUUUGGUACAAGCUACACAAUUCAAUGGAAAGGAACAUGAAGAUGCUAGUGCACACUUGCAGAAUUUCUUAGAGAUUGGAAGCACAAUCCACAUCAAUGGAGUCGACAAAGACGUCAUACUGCUUCGCCUUUUUCCAUUCUCACUAGAAUGGAAAGCGAGGAAGUGGUUCUACACUCAUCAAGAUAACAUCAACAACUGGACGAACUUGUCAGAUGCCUUUCUAUCAAAGUUUUUCCCUAUACGCAAAACAAUUGCCAUAAGAGGAAAUAUUGUCAGUUUCCAACAGCAGAAGGCAGAAACCAUUUCAGAAGCAUGGGAGCGUUUUCAAGGAUACAUAUCAGAUUGUCCUCACCAUGGAAUGGCCACAUGGCUACUUAUGUAGACCUUCUACCAUGGAUUAACCCAGAAGGCUCGUGAGUGCCUAGAUGCAUCUGCUAAAGGAUCAUUCUUGGAGCUUACAAUUGGAAAAGUAGAGAUACUUUUGGAUAAGAUAGCAGAAAACCAAAGCUGGUUCCAAGAUAAAGCUCAACAAUGUCAUCAAACUGAAGAAAUACCAGAGGAAGUAAAUGCACUAUCAACUAAGAUGGAAAAAUUGCUCCAUUGGAUUGACCAGAGGGCCAAGUUCAAAGAAGAUCAAAGGGCCAUUGAGACAGCAUACAAAUAUCAGCCUACGUCGAGUCAACCCAAUAGCAAAGGUAUGAAUUCAGGUAAUACUUUCAAGCAACUUUCAUUAGAAGAGAUAAUUGCUCAACAAACCAAAAUUAAUGAUGAAGUUAAACAAAGGCUAGACACAAAUGAAUCAUCUCUACAAGAUAUACACAAUAAAAUGGAUUUUCUAUUAACUGCCUUUGAUGAACAAAACACUCUUAAUAAAUGGGUAGAGCAUAAAUUAAUAAAGUUAGCUGCUGCACUGCCUGUUGCUACUAACAUUGAGCAGGUAAAGAACAUAACUACUAGAGGAGGCAAAGCCACCAAGGAUCCCCUAUACCCAAAAGACAAACAAAGAACAUCAGCACUAGUGCAACCAGCAGUGAUAGAAGAAGAAAGCCCAGUUGAAGCAGAAGAUCUGCUACAACCACCAAGAACUGGAGAAAUGAGGAAAGAUUUUUACGACACCAACUAUUUGCCAUUUCCUAGAAGAAAUAGAGGACUGCAGUCGGAUGAGCAGUUUGGUAAGUUUGUAGUGGUCAUUCAGAAAUUAUAUGUCAACAUACCUCUACUUGAUGCCAUACAGGUACCUACAUAUGCAAAGUACAUCAGAGAUAUUCUUAACAAGAAGAGACCACUGCCCACCACUGAGGUUAUCAAGCUAACAGAAGAAUGUAGUGCGGCCAUCCUCAAUAAACCGCCAAAGAAGAAGGAAGAUCCCGGAUGUCCCACUAUAGAUUGCUCAAUCGGAAACCAACACUUCAACAAUGCACUUUGUGAUCUCAGAGCAAGUGUUAGUGUGAUGCCAGCAUCAGUCUACAAAAAGCUUGAGCAUACGACCCUAGAACCAACAUCAAUGUGCCUGCAACUAGCAGAUAAAUCAGUUCGACACCCGUUGGGCAUCGCCGAAAACAUUCCAGUCAAGAUCAGAGAUUUCCUGGUGCCAGUAGACUUCGUGGUACUGGACAUGAGUCCUGACUCAAAAGUAUCCAUCAUCCUUGGAAGGCCAUUUCUGAGCACCGCCAAUGCCCACAUUGAUGUCGGGAAAGGAGAAAUCAAAAUCAACAUAAGAAGAACACUUCACAUUCAAGCCCAGACCAGAGAGAGUCUCUACAGUGAAGGAAGUUCAUGAAGAAGAACCACUGGAGACACCAUCUCCAGAGGAAGGUAAUUCAGAAGAUUAAAAAAUUUGGAGGUCCAGCUUGGGGGACCUAAAAAUCCCAAACCCUCGCCGGGAGGUAAAUCGGUAUCUAUCCGCAUCAUUAGUUCUCUCAUAUUUAAUUCUUGCAUUAUCCAUAUUUAUUUAUAGCAUUAUUCUAAUAAUGAAAAGCCCCAUAUAAAUAAUAUCUAUGGUGUGUGACAACCCAUAUUUAUUAAUUAUUGUGGAGGCACAAAAAUAUUUUUCCAUGAUCAUUUUUUAUAAGUUUCAAUUCUCAUAGGUUUUCCUGCAUUAUAUUUAAUUAUAGCAACCUUCUAGAAGCAUGACCCACACUCCUUGGGUCCCACAUGUCAUACACCACACCUCACACACAUCCCAUCACAUUAUUUGAUCCACCAACAUAACUCCACUCACCAUCACUUUUCCACCGACCAACCACCACCCAUGAUCUUUUAUUUUGCGUAAGAGUUAAGCAAAGGAGGGAGUGGAGAAAGGGCAGCCAGGAUGGGAACCACAAGUGGGCGCCCGCCCUGUCCCCCCUUCCUCCUAUAAAUUGCCACCUCCUGCCUCCAUCUCCAUCACACAAGCAUUCCAGAAAACCACGCAAGUUUCAGUUUCCAGAGAAGGAGCUCUUGUAGUGAAGUGAGAAGAGAGUAGAGAGGAAGAGAAGAGUGGAAGAGAGGUUGGUAGUCUUUGAGUGAGAGAGUGAGUUUCACCUAGUAAGUAGUGAUCCCGAUGUCCAAAGCGGAAGUAAAAGUUGUUUAGGGGGAGGUGCUGCUAAAAUAAAAACUUGUCUUGAACGACUAACCCCUGGACUACUGACAUUCCGGACAACUGACCACUAACAUUUUCUCUCACAUUUUCCACUAGUUGUGUGUGUGCGUCAACUUUUGUCUACAGGAUGUUCAAGAAGGUGAAGAACGUAGGGAAGGCUCUCAAGAACAUAGGUACGAGGAGUUCAUCCCGACACUCCUCGCACCCGUCAGAAAUGAGCGUUGACCCAACACCCACACAAGCUCCGUCAUCUUCAUCUGAUCAGCAAGUCAAGGUCCUCCUCAAGAUAGGAGACCUUGGACUAAAGACCCGCAGGGAAAAGGAAGUUUACUAGCAACUAAAGAAGAAAGAUUUCAUUCACACCCCUACUCUUGAUCCAAUCUUGCUACAAGAAACAGGUAUGGAUACUGAAUUCGACUUAAUUUUCCAGAUGUUAGGUUGGACAAAUUUUUGGAACAUAACUGAGCUGGGUUCCCAUCUUCUCACCCUUGAAUUUCUUAGCACUUUACAAUAUUAUGAGAGGGGGAUUGUUUUUCGGUUGUUCAAAUAGGACAUUAUCUUGUCUUGGAGGGAAUUGAGUGACCAUCUCGGUUUCUCUUCAAGAUGCAUCCUGAACAUUGACUCCGACCUACCCAAUUUUGAGAGACACCUGUUUUGGAGAGAGAUAUCUAGAUAUAAUUUUUAUAGUCAAGCGUGAACCAGUGACAUGGAACACCCCACCCUUAGGAUGUUCCACAAAUGGCUUGGGUACAAUCUUUUCCAUCGUCAUGAUAUUAGAAAAGUAAGAGUAGGAGAUUUGCAACUUCUAUAUGCUGCUAUAAAUAAAGUACCCACUUAAAUUGUUACACUUUUCGUUUCUCAUUGGCUUAGUAUACCUAGUCUUCAUGGACCAGUAGGAUGUACCUCACUUAUCACUCGUCUAGCCUCUAGUAUUCAUUUGCUAGAAAAUUCAUCAUUGGAAUUCAUAGAUGAGUUAGGAAUUUAUCAUGGCUAUGACACAUUUAGAUAAGCUCGGAUACUGAAAAAAGAGGGGAACGUAAUGUAUAUGUUAUACGAUAAUAAAGGCAAGAUUCGGUUACCUAACCCGAACCUUGGCCUCUAUGUUGUUCAAAAUUAUUUGAUUGAGAUUGCAGUGGCACCGGUAAACUAGAGAGCUCCACAGCGAGUGGCAUUCAAAAGGAUGACCACCCAUCAAGAACACACCGGUAUGGAGCUGAUCCCAGGCCGGAAGAAGCAGCGCACCUGCAUUACUGCGACUACAACCCCCGAGUCCUUCGGGACCCAUGGGUUCGACAUGCUCAGCCGCAGGAGCCAACACAGGAGACGUGGCCGGAGGGCCAAGAUCACCAGUGGACAAACCCGCCUUUCCGUACAAGCAGGUACUCCACUGAUCCAUAUGGAGCUUCACGGUCUAGGCCCCAGCCCUAAUUCGAUGCAGGACGGUACUCCGACGCCUCUUAUGCUUUCACGAACGACUACUACCAAGAGGCCGACAACUUCUUCACCCGUACCGACAACACCCUCCUUGACAUCCAGAAUUUGCAAGCAGAACAUGGACGACUCCUGGAACAGCAACAAAAGUGGAACUAGGACCACGCCGCUACAAUACAAGAACUAAGGCAAGACACCACGACGAUGAACGUCAACAUCACCACCAUGAUGUGAUUCUGGAACAUUGGGUAAGACCGACAACCACAUCCACCUUGGGGGAGUUCCUCCCCGUUUUAUCAAGUAAGUUUUUAUUGGCUCCUAUUAUUUAUUCUUUUCUGUUUUAGUGUUUUAUUUAUCUUAAAGAUAAAAACUUAGAAAACCCAAUAAAUACUUUCUUGCUUUAAAUUACUGCAUUCUAUGAACAUGAAAACAAAGUAAAAACAGUGUGUAGAUUAGUGUGCUUUAUUUAUCUACCAAGUGUUAAUCUAUAGAAAAAAAUAAAAAGAUGCAUGAUGGAAAUGAUGAACAGUUGCUCUGUUUGCUUACUUUCAAGUACCUAGCUUUUAUAUUAAAGUUAUUACAGGAAUUACUAAAACUAAAAUUUACUAUCUAUGGGAAGCAUGAACCUAAAACUAAAGUCUAGGUAAGAGAAAGGCAUGAUAUAAAGUUUGAGCUGUUGUUUAUCUUGUUCCUACUACACUAAGUCCUGGAGAUUUAUUUUGAAAACUUGCAAAUCACAUGGUGAGUUCCUAGCAUGACAAAAUACCUACCACAGCCAUACUUGCUAUAACAUCUUUUGCUACUUAUAUUCACAUUGAGUUUCAUCGAGCUGUGUAGACCCUUAGGAGCUUUUCAUGUGGUAAAAUUAAGAUAUUCACUUGCACACAUCUACUAAACCAUCCACCACCAUUCAUUAAAAUUGCUAAAAAUAUUAUCACUCACUGUCCCAAGUGUUGUUACUCUCUCUCUAAAAAGAUUCAAUGCAGAAGAGGCAUGGGUUAUGCAAAAAUAUGCGUGGAAAUAAAAAGGGGCAAGUGCCUGAAACCUCAAAAAAGAAAGAAAAAGAGUGAGACGAGAGGUAAAAAUUGACUAGUGUCCGGAGUAGAAUUAGGGGUACAAAGAUGCCCACCUGAGCAGAAAAAAUGGACAAGUGUCCGAUAGUAGAAUUAGGGGUAUUUACUACCCACCUGAAAAAAAGAAAGAAAAGAAAAAAAUAGCCCAUGUUCUCCCAAACCAAAGAUCAAAGAAGAAGAGAGAUAGCAAUAUGAGGAGCAAUGAGAAGUAAGUUUUAUCAUUACGUAUAUUUUCACCAUUAUUAUCAUUUACUCCACCACACAUGCACAUCUUGACUUAAUUACAUGUUGAGUUCCUUCGGAUCCAUGGCUCGAUUAGAUACCAUAUGUAUGAGCUAUUUUUCAUACCUAUGAGCUUCGCAUAAACAUUCCCUAAGUGACAUUUUUGGUAAGGAUCCACAAAUACCAUAUAUAGAGAGAUUUGAGAUUAUCAUAGCUGGGAACACUGAGCUUUAUUUUUUAAAAUGUAUACAAAACUCCAGAACAAAGGUGAAGUAUAGGCAGGAGGAAUAGUGCUUGACUUAAUUAUUUUGUCUUUCGAUUACUUAAGACUUCAGUGUAGGUACUAAGCUCCUUGACACUUCACUCUAAUCUGGGAAAAUUUUUAUGAAAGCAUGUGUGCCUAUCAGGAAAGAAAACAUCGAAGCAACUCCUGAUCCAUCUGAAUUUAGCUGUUUGCUCAGGGACGAGCAAAGGGUAAGCUUGGGGGAGUGUGUUGACAGUCCUUAAGUACUAAAUUUAACCAUCAACUAAACAUGGAAAGGGAUCAAUAUGCACCAAACAUCUUGAAUUAGGGUUUUAUCUGACAGAAUUCCAUGAGCUUUGGUGUUUAUCUAUUUCUGGAGGGGGCUAUCAGAAAAUAUAGAGAGAAGGCCCACAUGUCAGGUUAACAAUGAGAUAAUUAUGUGCCGCACAAUUUUCCUUAAUCUAGAAGAGUCCAGAAGCCAUGAAAAUGAAUGGGAGGCUGAACGGUCCCGGGGGCAGGGCACCCGCCCAACCCCCUUGGGCGCCUGCCCACCUGCAGCAGCCAAUCAGGCUCUGUCUCCUGGAUCGUUCUCCACCGCCUCUAAUCUUCAAGAAUAAUCGUGCGAUUAAGGUCGGUUUGAUCCGACGGCCCCAAUUCAUCGUCUGAGGGGGCUAUAUAAGCAAGGCCUCUCCACCCUAGGGGAAGAGGAGAAAUCAUUAUCAGAGGAAGCCAUCAAAGUUAGGGUUUAGGAACUUCUCUCCCACAGAGAAUUAGAACUAGCUACUACCAAUUCUUUCAAGUUCUAUAGGAUUGAUUAGAUAGAAUUAGAGAAGUAGAGCCUAGUGCUCUAGAUUCAUCAAUAAAGAUUGGUAUUAUUUCAUAUCUUUCUCUACUACUUUAUUCUAAUUGCAUUAUGUCUCUAUUUAUUAUGUUUUUAGUUUGCUCUAGUUCUAUAUUUGAUAUAGUUAUGAUUGAUAAUGAGUUUAUGUAUAAGUUUGAAAAGCGCUUAGCUCUUGACUCGAGGGAGUUAAGUGGUAGAUUGUUGGGUAUUUUAAACGCAAAUAGAAAAAUCUGCAAGCGCACAGAUACCGAUGUAGCUUUCACCCGGGAGUAUUCCAGAGUAUCAAUUUUCCACAGGGAACAUGAGUGUACUAAUUAAGAUUCAAGAUCGCCCAAGGAUAACUAUAUAAUUAUUUUUGGUGGGAAGAGAGGAAGUUUCCUGAGAGUUCUCUAGUUGAUCUAAGAAUCAAGAAUUACUUCAAAGAUUAUUUAUUUCGGGACAUCAGAACACUAACCAAAGAAAGAGAUGAGAAGGGGGCUAGGAAGCUUUGACUACGGUCCUACAAACACCGAUCCGAACAAGGUAGAAUACGACGACCGUUAGGGCUGUCACUACCCUAGGGCUACCACAACAAUCCGCAGGAUUGGGUGCAAUUCUAGGUAAUUGCAAGACUAAACACCAUUUCUAAUCUAUUAAUUACUACUCUAGCGUUAUAAAGACUAGAUCACUUGAUGCAAGCGGAAAUCCAAAAAAUAACUUGAAUGUAAAUAAAAGUAAUUAAAGAACUCAGGAAUUAUGAAUUGAAGAACAUAGAAAACGAUGAAGAACGAACCAGUUGCUGCAAAAGUACAAUGUUGAGGAAGAUCCGACAGAUCCGGCUCCUCCUCCUCCGCUCUCCUCUUCUCUCUCCCUAUUUUCUAGAUUACAACUAGAACUAACUAGAACUAGAACUUGACGAACUAGAACUAAAACUAGAUGAACUAGAGGGAUCCUCUCUACUUGGAUGAAGAAUUGAAACCCUAGCUUUGAUUCUGUAGAAGAGGUAUGAUCUUUAGGGGCCAGGGGGCCUUGCUUAUAUAGUCUUUUCAGAUGAAUCUGGGCCGUCGGAUCAAACCGACAUUAAUCGCACGGUUUUCCUUGAUCCAUUAGGUCGGUGGAGCAUGAUCCGCAAAGUUGAUCGUGAUUGGUGGAAAAAGGUGGGCGGGCGCCCUAAGGAGUAGGGCUGGCGCCCUGUCCCUGAGCCUUCUCGGCUUCCCGUUCGUUCCCGUGGCUUCUGGAGUCUUCUAGAUGAUAGAAAAUUGCACGACACGUUAGUAUCUCUAUGUAAACCCGACAUGUGGGCCUUUUCUCCAUAUUUCCUGAUAACCCCCUACAGAAAUAGACAAACACCAAAACUCGUGGAAUUCUAUCAGAUAAAACCCUAAGUCUGGGUGUUAGUUGCAUUUGGAUCCUUUUCCAUGAUUAGUUGACGGUUAAAUGUGAGCAUUAAGGACCAAAAAGAAGCUCCCCAAGCUUAACCUUUGCUCGUCCCUAAGCAAAGAUGGACUCAAGAGUUUCUACAGUGGUUUGAUGCCUUAAAGAUACACAUGCGUUCAAACAAGAUCUCAUCUCUGGGUUAGAGUAAACUGUUAAGACUUAAAACUUACUCAUUUUACCUUUCACCAUGGGGCUUGCAACCGUCACUUGUGUCUUGAGCAGUUAAAAGAUAGAACGGUCAAGUCAAGCGCCAUGUCUCUUGUUCUUGAUCAACUAUAGCUCUGGAGUUUUUGCACAUUUUCAAAAUAAAACUUAGAGAUUCCUUGUAUGACCCUCUCCAUUCUCUCUUUUGUGGUAUUUCUAGAUCCUUACCAAGGCAGUAAUGGUGUAUGCCUUCUCUCAAAGUAUGUGGUAUUUUUGGUAUGAGGCAUAGUGGCAUUGCCUUCUCUCUCACCCUACUCUAAUAAGGUUUUGAUAUCUGGAGCUCAUAGGUGGGAGACAGCUAAUACAUACUUACAAGACAUUUAUUGCAUAGUCAAACCAUGGAUCCAGAAGAACAAGUCAAUAAGUCAAAUCAAGAUGUGCAUGUGUGGCGAAUGAAUGGUGAUAAUGGAGAAAAUAAUGGUGAAAGUCUAAUUCUAUUUAUGCUCUUUGAGGGGAUACAUACCUUUCUUGCUCUUUUGAAACUUUUUGAGGAGAAUGAGAUGCUCUAUAUUUUCUUUUUCUUUUCUCUCAGGUGGGUAUCUUGUACCCCUAAUUCUACUGUCGGAUACUUGUCCAUUUUUACCUCUCGUCUCCCUUUUUCCUUUCUUUUGAGGUUCCAGGCACUUGCCCCUUUUUAUUUCCUCGUAUCCUCUUUUUUUAGAGCACUCACCUCUUUAAAUAAUGUAGCAAGUGGUAGUAACUGAAAUAACUUGAGCAUUUAUUUCACAGGGAAAACAGAAAUAGGAGAAUAUUUUUGGCUAUUCUCUCCUAGAUUAGGAGUAGAAUAUUUUUUUGGGUGGUUCUAGAGAUGGAAAUGGGUGGAUAUAUGUGGAUGCGUACUUCUGGAGUAGAAGCAACAUGUGUGCGUGAACGUGUAAGUGAAUCUUGAUAUAACCACAUGACAAGCUCCUAAUGGUCUACACAGCUUGACCACACUCAAUGCUCAUAAGCAGUAAAAACUAAAUGUAUGGUUCAUAGUCUAAUAAGCAUGUAUAUAUGGCUGUGGUAGGAUUUUAAACUCUCAUCAUAUAGGAACUCAUCAUGCAACAUUUUAAAGAUUUUCAAAGAUAAAAUUCUCUAGAAUUCUAGCAUCUCUAGGAACAGAUAAACGGUAGCUCAACCUUCCCAUAUCAUAUCUGUUAACGACUUAGACUUUAGAUCAAGUACUCUUUCCACAAGUUCGGGUUUAGAGCAAAUCUUAAUUAAUAACAGUCAUGCCUAAACUUGAGGGAGAUUUCAAUUUUGAGAACUAGUCAUAGCAGAGCAACUAUUCAUCAUUUCCAUGUGAGAGCUUAUCAUGAGGGUUCAUAGCAAACUUUAUUUAUUUAUUUAUUUAUUUAGCAAACUAAGCAAAUAUAUAUAUAUAAGCACAAAAUCUUUAUUUGGGUUUUAUGAUUAUGUAACUAUUUAUUAUUUGAGUAAUGUAUAAACGUGAGUAGAAUACUUAGCUGGAUAAAUGGGGGUGCUCUCCCCAUGCUGGAUUUUGACAUAAUUCCUUCUGAUGUAGCUAGCAGGUGGCGAAGGUGUAUUAGAAUGUCGACAACACCCUCACAGCGAUUAGGAUGUCCUCUGUGUGCUAGUCUUCUUUGAUCCAUGAAUUCUGUGGAGCUCAAAUAGACAACAUAGCUUUGUGGAACUGGUAAAGUGUUAGCAUAAAAUCUCUUAGCCGUUAUCAUAUUGAACUUCCUCUAAUAAAUAUUACUCUCAUUGGUAGGAUCAUAAAUUUAAUUUUUAUAUUUUCAUUUUUAUAGGACAUGAAUUUAUUUAUUUUAUUUUUACGCCACCACAGUGAAUGUACUUAUGGGUUUUAUGCCAUGAGCAUACUCACAUGGGGCUUACUAUUUUUAACAUUUUUAUUUUCUUUUCAAGAUGAUAUGAACCUGAUUAACUAAGCAAACUAUUUUAAAAUAAUUGAAAGGAAAAUGAUAACUACAAAGUUUACCUCUUGGCAAGGCGUUCGGUGUUUUUAAGUCCUCCGAACGGGACUCUCCGUUUUCUCAGUCGUCCUGGGAUUCGCUAGAUGGCGUAGUCGGUGGUUUCGGCGGCGCAUGCUCUUCAUGUAUAACUAUCUUCUCUCUCCACACCUGACUCGGUGCUACGGUCUCCUCAGGAUAGUUCUAUUCAAGCUUUGUAUCUUCAGACCUUACCACUUCUUCUUCGUAGUCUGCCCAUCCAUCCUUGAUGAUUUGCCUCUUUGGUUGCGGUUGCGUCGUCUUCUUCUUGUCCUGACCUGCUUAGAGUCUUCAAGAAUAUAGUUAAGGUGAGUAAAAUAACGGUGUACCUUCUUAGAGGGGAAGUGCAUGUGGACUUCUCUGGUUCCAAUGUAGAUGAUUGCUUUAACAGUGCUGAGGAACGGUCUCCCAAGGAUGAUGGGUGGAUCGUACUCAUCUUCUCCCAUGUUAAUAACCUGAAUAUCUUUCGGAAUGUCUGAUCUGCCAUCUGGAGUUAAAUGUAUGUUAGUUUUAGGGGCAUGGUUCCGAAUAGGAGCUGAUAGGUGACUGCGGCCAUUAUGUUGACGCUCGACCCGGUGUCGCAAAGCGUCUUCUGGAAGUUCUAGCCAUUAUUGGAGCACUAGAUGCUUGGCAUACCUUGGUCAUCCUUUUUGAUCAGGAAUAGUGACUUAAGUCGACGAUCUUGACCUCCUUGAACUGCAGUGUCCAUCUUAGCUGACUUGAUCCACAUUUGCUUGUUCCUGUUCCUCCUGUUGGUCCUCUUCCAUGGUUCAUGUCGGGAUUGCUCUGAGAUUUGUGUAGUCUUGUUCUUGAAGGAAAACGUCUCCUUCCUCCCCUUGAUGUAGAAACUGAUCUUGGCAGCACUAGCAUAGAUGACAGGUCUCGAGGUGUUUAGGAAUGGCCUCCCUAUGAUGAUGGGUGCCCUCUCAUUAGUACCAGUCUCUAUCACCACAAAGUCUGCUGGGGCGUACAAGGUACCAACUCGGACGCAGAGGUUCUUCAAUAUUCCCUUUGGGAAACUUAGCGUACGAUCUGCAAGCUGCAAACACAUGGUUGUUUGUAACAAAGGAUGUGUAAAGAAUUUUUCAUAGAGUACCCUAGGCAUAAUCUUGACGCUGGAGCCAAAGUCGCAGAGUGUUUCUUGGAAGUUCACCAUGCCGAUGGAGAUCGGGAUGACGGUGCGUCCUGGAUCGCCUCUCUUGACCGGCAGAAGGUCAGUAAUUACUUUCACAACGGAGUUACUCCAGUAGUUACGUCCUCAAGCAUCUCAGGGCAAUGAUUGCCUGAGUGUCCAGUAUCUCCACUAUGUUUGUGCUCGUAGAUCUAGGUUCUUCACUUUGUGGAGUCUGGGAGUUGUAAAUGUCCUUCAUAUUUUGCUCGAAGUUUACCUACUAAUAGAGACAUGGCAGAGAUCAAGUGCAUGGGCCCUAUUGGUGGAAAACACCAACAGAACCAAAAGUGUAUUUGUUCUUCUCUAACCUCAAGCAUAGUGAGCAAGACAAAGUUGAUGGAUAAUAAGAUCAUGAGUGU
rnacentral:lncRNA from 1 species